GAGACCUCAGGUCAGGCGGGGAUACCCGCUGAAUU
rnacentral:rRNA from 1 species